rnacentral:rRNA from 1 species
UACAGAGGGGGCAAGCGUUGUUCGGAAUUACUGGGCGUAAAGGGCUCGUAGGCGGCCAACUAAGUCGGAUGUGAAAUCCCCAGGCUCAACUUGGGAACUGCAUCCGAUACUGGAUGGCUUGAAUUCGGGAGAGGGAUGCAGAAUUCCAGGUGUAGCGGUGAAAUGCGUAGAUAUCUGGAGGAAUACCGGUGGCGAAGGCGGCGUCCUGGACCGACAUUGACGCUGAGGAGCGAAAGCUAGGGGAGCAAACGGG